CGAGCUGGGGAGGUGAUUUAUUAGAUCGUGGCAUACUAACAAUGUCUUUGGCUCCAAGAGAUAAUCAUGAGGCUCAAGUCCAAUUUGCAUUGGAACGCGGAAUUCCGGCGAUCCUUGGCAUCAUUUCCACUCAGCGGCUUCCUUUCCCCUCCAACUCAUUUGAUAUGGCUCAUUGCUCAAGAUGCCUUAUCCCAUGGACUGAAUUUGGUAAUUCCUCUCUUCCAUAUAAUGAUAAGUCUCAGAUGUAAAUUUGGACAAAAUUACAUUAUCAAUAAGUUGUCGCUGAGGUUCAUUGGUUGAUCAUAUACUCAAAAUUUCUUUUUAAUUUUCACUUAAUUUUUAGAGGUUUUAAGUAGUCAAGCAUCCAUUACAAUUACAGAGGUUUACCCUCUAGGUGGAACAGGAAUUCAGGUCAUCAAGCUUUUAUCUUUACAAAAGAAACAACUUAGAGUAAUUUGGCAGCUUUCAUCAAGUUUUCAAGGAAAUUAUGAAUAGCUUAAAAAUUAAGGUAGCACCAACAUAAUGUGUUUUCAGAACAUUUAUCAUUUGAACAGGUUUGUCUUUGUUUCUGAUGUUGAAUUAUGAACGAAAGGAUCAUGUUUGUGUUCUAUUUUUUUAUUUUUUUAUUUUUUUAUUUUUCCAUUUGCUGCUUUUCACCCAUGGAAAUGUCCUGUUUUCAGGUGGAAUAUACCUCCUAGAAGUACACCGCAUACUCCGCCCUGGAGGGUUCUGGGUCCUGUCUGGCCCACCUGUAAACUAUGAAAACCGUUGGCGAGGAUGGAACACAACUGUGGAGGAUCAGAAAAGUGACUAUGAAAAGUUGACUGAGUUGCUCACUUCAAUGUGCUUCAAAUUAUAUAACAAAAAGGAUGACAUCGCUGUGUGGCAAAAGUCCUCCGACAAUAACUGCUACCAACAACUUUCUAGCCCUGAUGUGUAUCCACCCAAGUGUGAUGAUGGCACUGAACCAGAUGCAGCAUGGUACACUCCCCUCCGCCCUUGUGUUGUUGUUCCUGAACCGAAGUACAAGAAACUAGGGCUGAAGUCCGUCCCCAAGUGGCCAGAACGGUUGAAUGUUGCACCAGAUCGCAUUUCAGCUAUCCAUGGUGGGAGUGCGAGUACCUUCAAGCAUGAU
rnacentral:lncRNA from 1 species